rnacentral:rRNA from 1 species
CCUACGGGAGGCAGCAGUGGGGAAUAUUGCACAAUGGGGGAAACCCUGAUGCAGCGAUGCCGCGUGAGUGAAGAAGUAAUUCGUUACGUAAAGCACUAUCAGCAGGGAAGAAACCCUUACCUUACGGUAAGCUGACGGUACCUGAGUCAGAAGCACCGGCUAACUACGUGCCAGCAGCCGCGGUAAUACGUAGGGGGCAAGCGUUAUCCGGAUUUACUGGUUGUAAAGGGAGCGUAGGCGGUACGCCAAGUCUGAAGUGAAAUGCCAGAGCUUAACUUCGGAACUGCUUUGGAAACUGGCGAACUAGAGUGCGGGAGGGGUAAGUGGAAUUCCUGGUGUAGCGGUGAAAUGCGUAGAUAUUAGGAGGAACACCGGUGGCGAAGGCGGCUUACUGGACCGUGACUGACGUUGAGGCGCGAAAGCGUGGGGAGCAAACAGGAUUAGAUACCCGAGUAGUC